rnacentral:rRNA from 1 species
CUGGUUGAUCCUGCCAGUAGUCAUAUGCUUCGUUCAAGGGCUAAGCCAUGCACGUCUCAGCGCACACGGUGCAACAGUGGGUCUGUGAAUGGCUCCUUACAUCAGCAGUCAUGUACGUGAUACAGUGAGGUUGAUGCCCCGUCCCAGGCAUCCAAUGGACAUCCUCCAAAACCUGGUGGCUAAUACACGGAUGGAACAGUCUGCCGCACGCAUGGCCUUGCAACUUGCUCAUCCCUGCUGCUGUGGGUCAGUGGUGGAUCGCAACCAGCCGCUUGAAAGACUCAGCGCCUGGCAAAGGCAGUGUGUUGUGGUUGACUCAGGCUGAUCCCAUGUGGACGUCUGCGCUGGCAUGAAUUACGGUGGCUCGACCACAGAGUUUGCUUGAUCACACCAACUUCUGACCUAUCAGCCCGGACUGUGGUGUAGUGGACCACAGUGGCGGUGACGGGUAACGGAGAAUUCGGGUUCGAUUCCGGAGAGGGAGCCUGAGAAACGGCUACCACUACCAAGGUGGGCAGCAGGCACGCAAAUUGCCCAAUGCACAGACAGCUUGCGAGGCAGCAACGAACCGCAGCAAUUCCACAGGCAUUCUCUGUCAGUGGGACUUGCAAUGGAUGCUAUCCAAACACAGUGAUGAGUACCAACUGGAGGGCAAGUCUGGUGCCAGCAGCUGCGGUAAUUCCAGCUCCAAGGGCGUAUACUAAUAUUGCUGCUGUUAAAACACUUGUAGUCUGCCACUGGGUGCAGGUCUGCUGGGUGGCCGGUGCGCUGGGGAUGUGGAUCGGUCGCCUUCCGGCUUCCGGUCAGUCCCCGGUGCGCUGGAACACAACCCCCGGCAGUAUGUCCUGCACCCGCCCCAACAAUGGUGAGAACCUGCCCCUGCCAGAAGUCUCCUUCAGUGGUGAUCGAAGCGGCCACGCACCCAGUGCUUGCGAGGACAAUUGACAGGGACACGGCCCUGCGUCUGUGUAGUUCAACCCUGGUCCGCCACCGGGGCCCACCAUUGCAGUCACCCUGGAAAACUCAGUGUGCCCAAAGCAUCCACUCUCGGCCGGAUGCCUGUCCAUGGAAUGUCAAAGCAACGACCGGAUGUGGCGAAUGGAGUUGUGCUGGCCUUGGAGCUCAUACCGGGGAAUCUGGUGCUGUGCAACUGGUGGUGGUCAAGCGGGGGUUUCGGCUMCCGCUGCCGCCGCCAGCUCUUGCAGUCAUUGAACGGAGACCGAUGGGACCACUCGAGGUGCAAGAUAUUGCAACGCCAGAGGUGAAAUUCUUAGACCGCUGCACGAUCCACAGCAGCGAAGGCGUUUGGCAAGGAUGAGUCCGUCGAUCAAGAAUGAGAGCCUGGGGAUCCAAGAUGAUUAGACACCGUCGUAGUCCAGAGCUGUAAACCAUGCCAGCUAGGUGACAGUGGGGCAAUCCUCGUACCCCAUUGGCGCCACUCCCCCCUUCCCACGAGAAAUCCAAGCCUUUGGGUUCAGGGGGGAGUACCGUCGCAAGGCUGAAACUUAAAGGAAUUGACGGAAUGGCACCACAAGGCGUGGAGUAUGCGGCUUAAUUUGACUCAACACGGGGAACGUUACCAGGUCAGGACGUUGCUGGGAUGGACAGAUUGAGAGCUCUUUCUUGAUCCUUCGGAUGGUGGUGCAUGGCCGCUCCUGAUUGGUGGAGUGAUUUGUCUGGUUGAUUCCGAUAACGAGUGAGACAUCUACCUCCCAAUAGCCCCAGUCUCGCAUCUGUAGGGUUUGGACGGCGGUCCCUGGGGUCUGCGGCUCGCCGUGGGUCCGACACCGCCGCUCCCCCGAGAGGUCUGGGCAUAAGCUUCUCUGAGGUGCUGAGCAUCCAUUCAAGUGCUUGCAUGCUAGAGCCAACAGCAGGUCUGUGAUGCUCCCAGAUGUCCUGGGCCGCACGCGCACUACAUUGAUACAGUGAAGGUGUUAUCCUUGGCUUGCCAAGGCCUGCCCAGAGGUGGGUGGGAAACCAUACGAGCCCGUAUCGUCCUGGGGAUAGAUGAUUGCAACUGUCUGCCUUGAACGAGGAAUGCCUAGUAGGCGUGCGUCAUCAGCACACACCGAUUAUGUCCCUGCCAUUUGUACACACCGCCCGUCGUUGCUACCGAUGAAAGCAGGCUAGAGCCAUCAGGAGGUCCCGGCCGGCCCCGCCCGGCCGGUCCGAAAUUGGGCAAUGCCCUGCUUCUAGAGGAAGCAAAAGUCGUAACAAGGUGUUGUAGGUGAACCUGCAANAAGGAUCAAGCUUGAGUUCCGGGG